GGGGGAUGAUGAGUGGUCAAUGCUUGCGAUAAUACAGGAUGCGAGAUGGGCGUACCGGCCCAAAGCCUGGUUACGACAACCCGGGCGCUCCAAUCCUUCGUACCUUCUGAUCCC